GAUGAACGCUGGCGGCGUGCUUAACACAUGCAAGUCGAACGGAAAGGCUCCUGCUUGCAGGGGUACUCGAGUGGCGAACGGGUGAGUAACACGUGGGCGAUCUGCCCUGCACUUCGGGAUAAGCCUGGGAAACUGGGUCUAAUACCGGAUAGGACGAUGGUUUGGAUGCCAUUGUGGAAAGUUUUUCGGUGUGGGAUGAGCUCGCGGCCUAUCAGCUUGUUGGUGGGGUAAUGGCCUACCAAGGCGUCGACGGGUAGCCGGCCUGAGAGGGUGUACGGCCACAUUGGGACUGAGAUACGGCCCAGACUCCUACGGGAGGCAGCAGUGGGGAAUAUUGCACAAUGGGCGCAAGCCUGAUGCAGCGACGCCGCGUGGGGGAUGACGGCCUUCGGGUUGUAAACUCCUUUCGCUAGGGACGAAGCGCAAGUGACGGUACCUGGAGAAGAAGCACCGGCUAACUACGU
rnacentral:rRNA from 1 species